GAUCAUGGCUCAGGACGAACGCUGGCGGCGUGCUUAACACAUGCAAGUCGAACGGAGUGUAGCAAUACACUUAGUGGCGGACGGGUGAGUAACACGUGAGCAACCUGCCCUAUACAACGGGAUAACACAAAGAAAUUUGUGCUAAUACCGUAUAAGACCCCGCUAAGGCAUCUUAGAGAGGUCAAAGCGUUAGCGGUAUAGGAGGGGCUCGCGGCCCAUUAGCUAGUUGGUGAGGUAACGGCCCACCAAGGCGACGAUGGGUAGCCGACCUGAGAGGGUGAACGGCCACAUUGGAACUGAGACACGGUCCAAACUCCUACGGGAGGCAGCAGUGGGGAAUAUUGGGCAAUGGAGGCCAACUCUGACCCAGCAACGCCGCGUGAAUGAAGAAGGCCUUCGGGUUGUAAAGUUCUUUAGUGAGGGACGAACAAAUGACGGUACCUCGAGAAUAAGCCACGACUAACUACGUGCCAGCCGCCGC
rnacentral:rRNA from 1 species